rnacentral:rRNA from 1 species
AACGAACGCUGGCGGCAUGCCUAACACAUGCAAGUCGAACGAGACCUUCGGGUCUAGUGGCGCACGGGUGCGUAACGCGUGGGAACCUGCCCUUAGGUUCGGAAUAACUCCCCGAAAGGGGUGCUAAUACCGGAUAAUGUCUUCGGACCAAAGAUUUAUCGCCUUUGGAUGGGCCCGCGUUGGAUUAGCUAGUUGGUAGGGUAAAAGCCUACCAAGGCGACGAUCCAUAGCUGGUCUGAGAGGAUGAUCAGCCACACUGGGACUGAGACACGGCCCAGACGCGGGGGGGAGGGGGGGGUGAGGAAGAGCGGAAAGGGGGCGGAGGCGAGGGACAGCGAGGGGGGGUGGGUGGGGAGAGCCGUAGUGUUGGAACGCUUUUUUAACGGGAAUGAUAAGGACAGUGCGGGGAGAAUAAGCUCGGGCUAACGCCGUGCCAGCAGCGGGGGAAAAAUCAAAGCGCACACGUCUGAAA